UACGAAGGGGGCUAGCGUUGCUCGGAAUUACUGGGCGUAAAGCGCGUGUAGGCGGCUUUGCAAGUCGGGUGUGAAAGCCCUCAGCUCAACUGAGGAAGUGCGCCCGAAACUGCAGAGCUUGAGUACCGGAGAGGGUGGCGGAAUUCCCCAAGUAGAGGUGAAAUUCGUAGAUAUGGGGAGGAACACCGGUGGCGAAGGCGGCCACCUGGACGGUCACUGACGCUGAGACGCGAAAGCGUGGGGAGCAAACAGG
rnacentral:rRNA from 1 species